GGCUACUACUUCAUGGGAGCUGAGAAAGUUGUGAAAUCUUUUUCUGAAUCACGUACAUUUUGGAAAGUAAUUUGGAAAGUAAUUUUGGAAACUCGAGCAAGGGAACGACGAACGAAGACGUUCAUGAUUUGUCGCUGACUGUCCACAACCGUCCUAGGUUACAUUGCCACACUCGAACUGUCCUAGCACCACUUCUCCUGAACUUGCAGACCACCCAAGAUUUGUUGCUGACUGUCCACAACCGUACUAAGUUACAUUGCCACACUCAAACUGUCCUAGCCCCACUUCUCCUGGACGUGCAGACAACCCAAGGUAAG